UAGGGAAUCUUCGGCAAUGGACGAAAGUCUGACCGAGCAACGCCGCGUGAGUGAAGAAGGUUUUCGGAUCGUAAAACUCUGUUGUUAGAGAAGAACAAGGACGUUAGUAACUGAACGUCCCCUGACGGUAUCUAACCAGAAAGCCACGGCUAACUACGUGCCAGCAGCCGCGGUAAUACGCAGGUGGCAAGCGUGGUCCGGAUUUAUUGGGCGUAAAGCGAGCGCAGGCGGUUUCUUAAGUCUGAUGUGAAAGCCCCCGGCUCAACCGGGGAGGGUCAUUGGAAACUGGGUGGCUUGAGUGCAGAAGAGGAGGGUGGAAUUCCAUGUGUGGCGGUGAAAUGCGUAGAUAUAUGGAGGAACACCAGUGGCGAAGGCGGCUCUCUGGUCUGUAACUGACGCUGAGGCUCGAAAGCGUGGGGAGCAAACAGG
rnacentral:rRNA from 1 species